UACAGAGGUCUCAAGCGUUGUUCGGAUUCAUUGGGCGUAAAGGGCGCGUAGGCGGCGAGGUAAGUCGGGUGUGAAAAUCUCAGAGCUCAACUCUGAAACUGCACUCGAUACUGCUUUGCUAGAGGACUGGAGAGGAGAUUGGAAUUCACGGUGUAGCAGUGAAAAUGCGUAGAGAUCGUGAGGGAAAGACCAGUGGCGAAGGCGGAUCUCUGGGACAGUUUCCUUGACGCUGAGGCGCGAAGGGCCCAGGGGGGAGCAAAACGGGG
rnacentral:rRNA from 1 species